rnacentral:rRNA from 1 species
AACGAACGCUGGCGGCAGGCCUAACACAUGCAAGUCGAACGCCCUCUUUCGGGAGGGAGUGGCGCACGGGUGAGUAACGCGUGGGAAUCUGUCCUUUGGUUCGGAAUAACCCUGGGAAACUAGGGCUAACACCGGAUAAGCCCUGUGUUGAGAGACAUGGGGGAAAGUUUACGCCGAAGGAGGAGCCCGCGUCCGAUUAGCUAGUUGGUGAGGUAAGAGCUCACCAAGGCUUCGAUCGGUAGCUGGUCNGAGAGGACGAUCAGCCACACUGGGACUGAGACACGGCCCAGACUCCUACGGGAGGCAGCAGUGGGGAAUAUUGGACAAUGGGCGCAAGCCUGAUCCAGCCAUGCCGCGUGAGUGAUG